rnacentral:rRNA from 1 species
UGGGGAAUAUUGGGCAAUGGGCGAAAGCCUGACCCAGCGACGCCGCGUGGGCGAUGAAGGCCUUCGGGUCGUAAAGCCCUGUCAUGCGGAAAGAAAAGUCCCGCGAUUAAUACUCGCGGGAUGUGACGGUACCGCAGAAGGAAGCACCGGCUAACUCCGUGCCAGCAGCCGCGGUAAUACGGAGGGUGCAAGCGUUGUUCGGAAUUACUGGGCGUAAAGGGCGCGUAGGCGGUAAUAUAAGUCAAAUGUGAAAUCCUCCAGCUUAACUGGAGAACAGCAUCUGAAACUGUGUAACUAGAGUACAGGAGAGGGAAACGGAAUUCCCGGUGUAGAGGUGAAAUUCGUAGAUAUCGGGAGGAACACCAGUGGCGAAGGCGGUUUCCUGGCCUGAUACUGACGC